rnacentral:rRNA from 1 species
AGAGUUUGAUCAUGGCUCAGGAUGAACGCUGGCGGCGUGCCUAACACAUGCAAGUCGAGCGAUUUACUUCGGUAAAGAGCAGCGGACGGGUGAGUAACGCGUGGGUAACCUGCCCUAUACACACGGAUAACAUACCGAAAGGUAUGCUAAUACGAGAUAAUAUAAGAGAUUCACAUGGAUUUCUUAUCAAAGCUGAGGCGGUAUAGGAUGGACCCGCGUCUGAUUAGCUAGUUGGUAAGGUAACGGCUUACCAAGGCGACGAUCAGUAGCCGACCUGAGAGGGUGAUCGGCCACAUUGGAACUGAGACACGGUCCAAACUCCUACGGGAGGCAGCAGUGGGGAAUAUUGCACAAUGGGCGAAAGCCUGAUGCAGCAACGCCGCGUGAGUGAUGAAGGCCUUCGGGUCGUAAAACUCUGUCCUCAAGGAAGAUAAUGACGGUACUUGAGGAGGAAGCCCCGGCUAACUACGUGCCAGCAGCCGCGGUAAUACGUAGGGGGCUAGCGUUAUCCGGAUUUACUGGGCGUAAAGGGUGCGUAGGUGGUCUCUUAAGUCAGGAGUGAAAGGCUACGGCUUAACCGUAGUAAGCUCUUGAAACUGGGAGACUUGAGUGCAGGAGAGGAAAGUGGAAUUCCUAGUGUAGCGGUGAAAUGCGUAGAUAUUAGGAGGAACACCAGUAGCGAAGGCGGCUUUCUGGACUGUAACUGACACUGAGGCACGAAAGCGUGGGGAGCAAACAGGAUUAGAUACCCUGGUAGUCCACGCCGUAAACGAUGAGUACUAGGUGUCGGGGGUUACUCCCCUCGGUGCCGCAGCUAACGCAUUAAGUACUCCGCCUGGGGAGUACGCUCGCAAGAGUGAAACUCAAAGGAAUUGACGG